UAGGGAAUCUUCGGCAAUGGGGGCAACCCUGACCGAGCAACGCCGCGUGAGUGAAGAAGGUUUUCGGAUCGUAAAGCUCUGUUGUAAGAGAAGAACGUGUGUGAGAGUGGAAAGUUCACACAGUGACGGUAACUUACCAGAAAGGGACGGCUAACUACGUGCCAGCAGCCGCGGUAAUACGUAGGUCCCGAGCGUUGUCCGGAUUUAUUGGGCGUAAAGCGAGCGCAGGCGGUUUAAUAAGUCUGAAGUUAAAGGCAGUGGCUUAACCAUUGUGCGCUUUGGAAACUGUUAAACUUGAGUGCAGAAGGGGAGAGUGGAAUUCCAUGUGUAGCGGUGAAAUGCGUAGAUAUAUGGAGGAACACCGGUGGCGAAAGCGGCUUUCUGGUCUGUAACUGACGCUGAGGCUCGAAAGCGUGGGGAGCAAACAGG
rnacentral:rRNA from 1 species